UGGGAAAAGAAGAAGCACCCGCUUCUCACCUGAUUGACGCAAUUGGCAGUUGGCAGGUUUUACGUGAACUUUUUGGUUUUAUUACUUAUGUUCUGUAAAGUGUGGGUGCAUUCAUCCGCACUUUUUUGUUUGU
rfam:Bacillus sp. OV166 genome assembly, contig: Ga0115450_11